rnacentral:rRNA from 1 species
UUGGAGGGCAAGUCUGGUGCCAGCAGCCGCGGUAAUUCCAGCUCCAAUAGCGUAUAUUAAAGUUGUUGCAGUUAAAAAGCUCGUAGUUGAAUUUCGGGGUCAGUAGGUUGGUCGUGCCACUGGUAUGUACUGGUCUCACUGAUUCCUCCUUCCUGAUGAACUGUAAUGCCAUUAAUUUGGUGUUGCAGGGAAUCUGGACUGUUACUUUGAAAAAAUUAGAGUGUUUAAAGCAGGCUAACGCCUGAAUACAUUAGCAUGGAAUAAUGAAAUAGGACGUUCGAUCCUAUUUUGUUGGUUUCUAGGAUUGACGUAAUGAUUAAUAGGGAUAGUUGGGGGCAUUAGUAUUCAAUUGUCAGAGGUGAAAUUCUUGGAUUUAUUGAAGACUAACUACUGCGAAAGCACUUGCCAAGGAUGUUUUCAUUAAUCAAGAACGAAAGUUAGGGGAUCGAAGACGAUCAGAUACCGUCGUAGUCUUAACCAUAAACUAUGCCGACUAGGGAUCGGAUGAUGUUAAUUUUUUAAUGACUCAUUCGGCGCCUUACGGGAAACCAAAGUGUUUGGGUUC